rnacentral:rRNA from 1 species
GUGAGGAAUAUUGGUCAAUGGGCGCAAGCCUGAACCAGCCAUCCCGCGUGAAGGAAGAAGGCCCUACGGGUUGUAAACUUCUUUUCUGUUUGAAGAAUAAGCUUGUCGAGACAAGUGAUGCCGGUAGGACAGGAAUAAGCAUCGGCUAACUCCGUGCCAGCAGCCGCGGUAAUACGGAGGAUGCAAGCGUUAUCCGGAUUUAUUGGGUUUAAAGGGUGCGCAGGUGGUUGAAUAAGUCAGUGGUGAAAGUCUGGCGCUUAACGUUAGGAUUGCCAUUGAUACUGUUUGACUUGAAUAUGGAUGAGGUAGGCGGAAUGUGUAGUGUAGCGGUGAAAUGCUUAGAUAUUACACAGAACACCGAUUGCGAAGGCAGCUUACUAAUCCAUUAUUGACGCUGAGGCACGAAAGCGUGGGGAUCAAACAGGAUUAGAAACCCUGGUAGUCC